AAAAUAUAUAUUUUUAGUGUCUCUCUGAAACACAAUUUAUGAGACAUAAUUUUUUUCACUACCUCAACAUUAUCUCCAGUUAAUUUAAAAAAUUCUAACCUUAUCCCUACCUCAACCUUAUCCUAACCCCUUUCUCUACUCCUUUUUUCUUCUCCGUCAGUCUUCUACCUCUUUCCAGAUUCUUUUCCUCUUCCAUAGAUCUCAUCAUCGCCGUCAUGCCUCCUUCCUCCGAUGGUUUUCUCUCUCUCCAUUACCGUACUCUUCUUUGUUGCGUUCUUAAAUUUGUGUCUCUUCCGCGCUCUUUUGUCAUCGCCUUUCUCAAAUCUGUGCCACCUCUGCAUCGUUGCCGCCAUUCAUCCAGAUCUUUCUCCCUCGCGACACAGAGCCACUGCACCGUCCAACCCAGAGCGAGUCAUAGCACCAUCUAAUACACAGCAAAUACGGUUUCGGAUAUCAUAAUAGUUUCUAGACAGCUUUCUGAUGAUGAAUCAUCAUCGAUGAUCUAUUGUGUCACGAAGUUGCCACGUUGGAGAGCCAAAACAUUGACGUUUUAGGUUGGAAUUCUUGCACUCAGAAGACAUCAAAAUCAGGUUUCACUUCAUCGUUCGUCUCCUCUUGCGUUAGAAACAAGAGGUUCUGCCAUUUGUAAAGAGAUGUUGGAUAUUAUGUUUCAUCACGGGGUGAUUUCAAAGAAGAUGAAGAAGGAACAAUGGUAUAUUAUCCGGAUAAUAAGGCUUGUUUAGGUGACCUAGAUGUGGAUACGUUAGAUGUCUUCUAUCUGAGGAACUACCGUAAAAAGCUUGGUUAUGAUGAGAUAAAGCAAUGUUGGUGGCAAGUUCCUGAAAAAGGUUUGGAGAACAGACUAAGAAGCUUGAAUAAUGACAAGGAGAUAAGAGAGAUGGUGAAGUAUGCUAAGAUCAAUAACGGAGUUAUUGAUGUAUAUUUCGAGCAUGAAACAUCAUUGCCAAAGAUUUUGGAGGAAAAUACAAAACAGAAAAAGAAUUCUCCAAGAUUAACACAACUAUUACCCUCAAACACCAAAGUUGCCUCAAACACCAAAAGUAUACAACCACCAUGGUUGUUGUGGGUGUUGUUUGUAUGCAGGUAUUCCUUGUGUGCAUGCAUGUGCUGCACUGUCUCGGAUUAACAAGCCACCAGAAGACUUUUGUCAUCGUUUGCUAACAAUAGAAUCAUACAGGGAAACAUAUAAUAAUCAUAUUAAUCCAAUUCCUGGACAACCAUUAUGGGAGCAUACAGAAGAAUGUAACAAGCCACAAACACCAAAGAUAAAGAAGAAACUUGGAAAACUACAGAUGAAAAGAAGAAUGGAUGCUGAUGAGAAGGGUGGUGGAGGAUCUAAAAAGUCUAAAGCUAAUCCCAAGUCUCAGAGUAACAAUGGAGAUAAUAUUCAUCUAAAGAGGCAGUUGGACCCCUUUACUUGCAGUUUCUGUGGUGAUAAAGGACAUACAAAGAGAGGUUGCAAGAAGAAGAAAGCUUGUGAUGCUGCUGAGGCUGAUAAGAAGAAGAAAAAUGAAGGAGGUGUGCCUGCAUCUGAGCAGCAACUUCAGCAGCCUCAAGAUGAUGGUGACCAACGUAAUAGAGAAGACAAUCCUCUUGUGCAGUCUACUGAGAUUGCACCAGCCACUUCUGAUGCACAACCUGUAGAGAUAGAUAUAUCUUAGCCAAUUGCUUCUGAUGUAGAAGAUUUUCAAAAAGAUCAUGGAAUAAAAAGGCCUUCAAAAUUAUCACCAAGGAGAAGAUCCUCUCUACUAGCAACUUCUGUCCAGUGAAUCCCAUGCAGGGUGCUAGUUCAGGAACUGCAACAAGACUUGUCAAUUACAUGAAGUUCAUCCCAACUCUCGGAUUUAAGGCUCCAAGAAAGAAGAAUUGAAGAAUUUAGCUUAAUAUGUAUAGGAAUGUAUGUUUUGAAUUUAAUAAUUUUUGCUAGACAAAGACUACACAAGGAAAAAAUAAUCCUUUAUGUUUUGCUGUAAAGUCCUCCCUUUUGAGGCAACUUUGUUUAACAUGCUCAUGUUAGUUGGCUGCCCUUUGUGUUAUGUGACUAACUGUGUUAAGUUGAACUAUUAUCUUAAUACACUUAUCUUUUAAGUUUGAACCAUUA